rnacentral:lncRNA from 1 species
AAGGUUUGAACAGGGCUGGCAAGGGAACAUGAUCUCUCUCUCUCUCUCUCUCUCUCUCUCUCUCUCUCUCUCUCUCUCUCUCUCUCUCUCUCUCACACACACACACACACACACACACACACACACACCCUCUAGCCUUGGGAAAGCACAGCCCACCUGCUAAGCAAGCAGGCUGCGGGAGUUUCCUUGGCAAAGAAUCCUGUCUGCUGCUUCCAAAUGCAGUCUCCAGAAGGUCACUUCACUCAGAUACAGAACAGCUUCCUUUGGUCUCUGUGACAAAGUUUGUGGGGAUUCAGUGCGGUCCUCCCCUGGGGUGCUUCUACACUCCCACCCCUACUCUGGGUGCCUGUGGCACACAGCUGGUCUGCCCGCAGCACCCCGCCUUACCUUAGUGAGCUGAGCGAUCUUCUUGCACAUUUUCACGUGCAUCUCCGGAUCACAGUCCAUUCUCCAGCCCGAGCCACCGCGGGCGUCGGCUUUGGAGCUCGCGCAGGUUCCUGGCGGGUGAAUUUUGCUGUUGAGGGCAGAUGCCAUCGCUUUAAGGAGCCCUGCACUGAAAUGCUCUGACUCGCGCGCUCUCACCGCUGGCCGUGUGCACGUGCGUUCGAGCACGGGCGUGAGAGCUUUCUCCAGAGAGGUGGCACUGCAGUCCUGCCAGCACAGCCGCGUGGCUCUCUUUCCGGAGGUGUCUCCUUCCCGGGCCCACUCGCGCACCACCUUCCUCUGCUCGUGCUCGUUCGCGAGCUAGCUGGCUCACGGGCACCCGCACCAUGCAGCGUAGCGCUGGCGCCUUGCACGUGAGGUUUACCAUCUGCGGAUGCUUCCGAGAGGGCCCGAGGCUGAACCUUGUUGCGUUUUGAAGUUGUUGCCCCUUAGACUGGGAAAGCAGGUUCAAAUUAAUGGAACUCUCCAACACCCAAAGGGGGAACAGACCUGAAGUAUUGUUUGCAAUAAAUGCUUCUCACUAAAUAGAAAAGCAAAUUUCUCAUAAUUCUACUCCAAAAGGGUGAAACACAUGUGUUUGAUAGACAUACAACUGUGACAAAUAACUUAGCCUUCUUUUAAAGAAAGGUAACAUUCUGUAUAUGAACUGUAAAACCUUUAACAUAAAAUUUUAUUGAGGCAAGAAUUCUUACCUGUUUCACGUACUGCCAAAGCCCCAGUGAUUAGAAUAGUGUUUAGCAGGCCACUAUUAGGUUCUUAAACAUUUAUUGAACGACUAAAAGAAUGAAUAUUCUUCUACAAGAAGUGGUAUUUUCAAGAGUAUAUGUGAAUCAUAUAGAUUAUGAUUAAUAAUCAUAUAAAUGUGCUUAAUAUAAUCAUGGAAAUAUAAGUUAAAACCAAAUUGAGACGCUACUACACCACUUAGAAUGUAUAAAAUAAAAAGAAAAUGUUUACCAGAAUGUGUAAAAUAAUGAGCAAAAUAUAAAGCGUUUACAAAGAUACAUGCUAAAAUGAAGUUUUGUGUGUUACUUACUAGUAGAAGAGUAAAAUGAUACAAUCACUUUGGAAAGUGUGUGGCAGUUUUACUACAACUAAAGCACACAUCACUUAUGACGUCAGUUUGACGCCUCGGUUUAAGACAAGAGGAAUGAGUGUGCGCAUGCACAAAGACAUAGAAUGUUUAGGACAACUUUAUUUGUAAUAACUCAAACUUGUAAGAACUCCAGUGCCAACAAUUGGUAAAAGGUAAAUGAAUUGUGGUAAUUCAUAUGAUACAUUACAGUAAUAAUGUUGAAGUAGAAUGUGGAAGGAAGAAGGUGACUAUAAUAUAUCACAUAGUGUAUGAUCCCAUUCACAUGAAGUUUGAGGAAAACCAGGACUAACUUACCUUUAUAAAAGUAGCUAUUUUGGAAUUCUGUGUAAUCAGAAAUUUUUGUGCUGUAUUCUGAGUGUAUGUAUCUUGAUAUAAUCUUAACAUUAUACAUUUGUGAAGAAACACCAAGAAUUAAGACGUGGUUUAUGAAAACCCACUUUUCAUUUCCUGCCAGCAAGGCAAGAGUGCCUUUGGUAAAUUUAUCAUUUGAAAAUAUUAUUAUUUUGUAUUUUUCAUUUUUCAUUCCUGAUUAAGUGAAAGGCAUUUGUUAAUCUUUAUAGGUUCAUUUGGACUGAAUGAUCAAGCUUUCUGAUUCUCCUUAUUCAGAAGGUCGCUCCUAUUUGAAUCUCAUCUUUAUCAAUCUUGAUAGUAUCCAUAGCUUUUUUUUCUCCUGUGGAAAUAGAGACAAAAUUUUUUCCCCAAUGUAACACAAUUCCAGUUUUCUGUUUUAAGAAUUAUACACUAUGUGAUAUAUACAUCAACACAUCUCUAAAUUAUGCAGGCUGGUUUAAUUCAGCAGGGUUUUUUCCUAUUAUUCAAUGUCUCUCCAUAGUUGUUGUAUGGCACACAUAUCUUAUCUUUCCAAAGUCUGGGAAAUGAAAUAUAUCCACUUGCCAAAUUUCAUUUCUUUAGGUACCUGUGGAACUUUCAAUAUGUUUGGUCCAGGGCACUAUUAGAUGUUACCCUGUUAGAAGAAAUGUGCCACUGUUGGGGUGGGCUUUGAGACCCCUCUCCUAGCUGCCUGGAAUACAGUCUGCUCCUUACUUCUUUUGGAUGAAGAUGUCGAACUCUCAGCUCCUCCAAUGUCAUGCCUGCCUGGAUGCAGCCAUCCUUCCUGUCAUGAUGAUAAUGGACUGAAUCACAGAACCUGUAAGCCUGCAUCAAGUCUGCAGGAUUAGGCACAUCCUUUCCCACUGAGGCUAGAUGUGGCAGCCCUCUGCUACAUAUGCGUCAGGGGCCUUGAACCAGGCUCUGUAUGCUUUUUGGAUGGUGGAUCAGUCUCUAGAAGCUCCCAGAGGUCCAGGUUAUUUGCUUUGUGGAUGAGUUUUCCAAAACUGACAGGGAAUGGAAUGCCUGAAUCCAAUUUAAUAUGGACAUGAGGGCCCCUAGGGCUUUUCCCAAUAGAAAAUAUUACCUUGCCUGUCUUUUGUUCAUCUGCAUUCAUUAGUCCAAUGUAGGCCUUUGCCAUGCCUUCUGCAUACUCCAGAAAGCUGGGGCCUUCUUUUUGGAUUAUCUCUAUGAAAAAAAAAACAAUAUUUCUAGAAAUGCCUUGCCUACAAUCUCUUUUCAUAUGAACUUGCUUAUCACAAUUAAAACAUCUGAUGUUUUUGUUUUUCUUCAAACUUUUAGAAAUUAUUUCUCCUAUCAAAGUAGCAUCAUAAACAUGAGAUCCAAUAUUGCCAUAUUUCCAGUCCAUUCAUCUAUUGGUUCUGAUGUUGCCUUGAAAGGCCUAAUCGCCCCUUUGCAUUCAGAAUUAGCAUUUUCAAAAGCCAAAGAUCUCAUUAAUAUUUGUCUGACUUCUGAAUCUGAUACUAUUUUAUUUACAGCUGAAGUCAACCUUUGCAAAAAAAAAAUAGUGAAGGCUGAUUUUGGGCCUUGCAUAAUUUCAGUAAAUGAUACAGCCCUCUUUCCUGGUUCUUCAACAUAAACAGAAACCCUAAAAUAAUGUCCUUUCUGGUAUCAUUUUGGAAGUCACCAAGGAGCAUUUCAUUCUGAUAUAAUUUUCUUUUCUUUACUAUAUCCAUGACUUAAUGUUCUAUUUUCCAAAUUUUGUGCAACUUUUUACAUUAAGUUUUAGAAUUCUAAUUUUUUUCAAUAGCCCUUUCUGGUUAUUUCAUAAAUGUAGUAUGCUCUCCAAUGUUUCUAAGAAUAUCCGAGAUUCUUUGGCAGCUUUAUGUUCAGCUUUCAUGUUGGAGUUUCCUCAAAUGUUGAGUGAUUCUUAGUUGUCAGUGUAUAUUGACUUCAAGUGACUAUAAGUUAUGUCAUAAUGAGCAGGGUUUGUAGUCUUUGGGUCUCACUGUAGCAAAUAGUUAAAUGCCAAAUUAUUGUUCAUCUUUUCUGGAUGGGUUGGGCAUGUCUGGAUAUACAUGCCCAUAACAGCCAGGUAAAGAAUGCAUGCAGGUUCACAAUGUUUUUAAUACUGGCAUUCUCAGUUUCCUUGUCCUCAACAUAGCUUUGGUCCUGUCUUUCCAUUCUCAGUUUUGUUUGGUUCAGUUUCUCCAGAAAAAUAAGCCUUCUGUAAUUUUUGUUUGUUUGUUUUUGUUUUUUAUUUUUCGAGACAGGGUUUCUCUGUGUAGCCCUGGCUGUCCUGGAACUCACUCUGUAGACCAGGCUGGCUGUGAACUCAGAAAUCCGCCUGCUUCUGCCUCCCAAGUGCUGGGAUUAAAGGCGUGCACCACCACUUUUGUUCCUCAUGCCUACUUUCAGUUGUCCCUUUAGACUUUGAAUGGUGUAGAAAGCAGCACUUGUCUUCUACAUUUGUAGACUUUUUCUUUCUCUAAACAUUUAUCUUUGCUAUUUUUAAAUUGUAUGUAUUUGUGUCUGUGUAUGUGCACAAAAAGACAUUGGAUCCCUUGGAGACAGAGUUUACAGGAGGAUGUUAGCCACCAGACAUGGGUGAGAAACCAGACAAAGGUUGUCUAUAAGAGUGCUCUUAGCCAUAGGGCCAUCUCCCUAGCUCCUUUUUUUCUGCUAUGGAAACUAAAUGAACUUAGCUGCUGGAACAUUGCUACCUACACCUUUUUCCCUAAAAGAGCUAUAAAUUGGCCUUUUCCUCAAUGAAGAAAAUAAGUACUUUAAAAGCCCACCAAUAAGGAUCAACAAAACACAACCACUUCUACGUACAAUUGAAGACAGCACUAUGAAAAUUAGAAAUGAUUUAAUUGUUAGUAUGAGUUAUUUUCACUCAAUACCAUGUCUCUUCAAUAAAGACUCUGAUCUGUA